UUAAUUUUGUGUUUACUAGUUUUAGGAAUUUAUAAUGGGUAGUGUUUAAUGGAGGACUCAUGUGGUUUAUAUUUGUUUGUUAUCUUUAGCAAGCAAGAGUGAUAAGAUAAUUUGUUUUCAGUUGUGUAGGUUAAAAGGCCAAUCUAAUUGCCAUAAUCACUACUGCCCUUUGUAUUUUUGUUUUGUUUUUUUACACAAUUUACAUAAAUUUAGACCCGUAAAAAAGUUAAGAACAAUUGUGUUGUAAGGUACCCUUGAUAAAGG